AGCGCCAACCGUCGUGCCUUAAUUCAUGACCGCCGCCCCUCUGCUGCAAUUUGGCAGCACGACCAUCACUGGUGAGCCUUGUCUGCCGACCUCAACAGCCCUUUCGGUGACUGCUGUUUGGGGUGAGGUGUUAAUGGUGGAUGGAGGAUAGAUUCAUCAUGGGUUUGGUUUCGGACCGGAGAAAAUAGUGCCAAAUCCUUUAUUGUGUUUCUGCUCGACAGUGCCGAAGAGGACACAGAGCUAUGCCGUAGCCGGAUCUUGGAGUGAAGAAUUUUCAGCAGCCAACGUCCCUUAAUGGCAGCAAGUUCCAGCCAGCAAUUCUUUGGUUUCAGUACAAACCGGUGGCUGUGAAUUAAGGACUUUGACACGAGACGAGCAUCUCGAUGUUGGAUUUGACUGGAUUGAACCUGCUAUUGGAGGCG